rnacentral:rRNA from 1 species
GACGAACGCUGGCGGCGUGCUUAACACAUGCAAGUCGAACGGACAGGCCCUGCUUUUGUGGGGUGCUCGAGUGGCGAACGGGUGAGUAACACGUGAGUAACCUCCCCUUGACUUUGGGAUAACUUCAGGAAACUGGGGCUAAUACCGGAUAGGAGCUCCUGCUGCAUGGUGGUGGUUGGAAAGAUUCGGCGGUUGGGGAUGGACUCGCAGGUUAUCAGCUUGUUUGUGGGGUAGUUGCUUACCAAGCCUGUGAAGGCUACGCUGCCUUGGAGAGGUACCGGGCACAUUGGGACUGCGAUACGGCCCAGACGCCUACGGGAGGCAGCAGUGGGGAAUAUUGCAGAAUGGGCGGAAGCGUGAUGCAACAGCGCCGGGUGCGGGAUGACGGCCUUCGGGGUGUAAACCGCUUUCGACUGUGACGAAGCGUGAGUGACGGUAAUGGGUAAAGAAGCACCGGCUAACUACGUG